rnacentral:rRNA from 1 species
UACGGAGGGUGCAAGCGUUGUUCGGAAUUACUGGGCGUAAAGCGCGUGUAGGCGGUCACCUAAGUCUGAUGUGAAAGCCCGGGGCUUACCCCCGGAAGUGCAUUGGAAACUGGGUGACUCGAGUGCCGGAGAGGAGGGUGGAAUUCCUGGUGUAGCGGUGAAAUGCGUAGAUAUCAGGAGGAACACCGGUGGCGAAGGCGGCCCUCUGGACGGAUACUGACGCUGAGACGCGAAAGCGUGGGGAGCAAACAGG